ACUACGUGUAGUUUUUAAGCUACUCCCACAUGUAUGCUUCACUUUUUUUCUCUUCUAAUAUAUCGUAUACAAUGGAGUUACAGAGCUUACUCAGAGCUUACUCAGAUUUUCUACUGUCUUCUCAAAUCUCUUCAACUUGCAGCAGAUUAAGAGGUUGAACAUACCCAACAUGGUGCUAAUGUGAAUACAAUGAUCAGGAUCUGUAAGGGCUUGCCUGUUCGCAUAUCUUUUUUUUUUUCCUUUUUCAUGUUGGAUUAAAGAGACUCUAACAAUAUCUUUGUUGUAUUUGAUCGUGCAGGUAUGUCUUAUUUUAGAAGCUACCUCACGCAUAAAGUAAUAUGAAAGUAAUAUGAUGGUUAAUAUAAGAUAGUAUCAUAACAGUUGAAACUUGCUGAUAGGUUUAUUUCUUUUUAAGUAAUAUGUAUCCGGUCUAUUUGGAAUAUGGCAUUUAUGAGGAUGAAUCUCACUAAUAAGUUGUCUGAUGUUAAUACUCCUGGUGGAAAUUUUCAUCUUAUAUAUACAUUCUCUACGCUUCAGGUCAUAUCUGUACUCUUGGUGGUCUGUUAGGUUUCCAGAGCAUUGUUCUCACUCUUUCUCUAUUGUAGCCUCUGGAAUCACAUAAGUUUCCUUAGGGUUCAAUUAUUGGGUUUUAGCUCAGGUAAUCUGCUUCAAUUUGAUUCCCGUGAUUCUUUUUCUGCGAUGCGUUUCUUGGUAUUACAAUACAAAAUAGGGGUACUACAUACAUUUCACUUAUGUGAGGUUACCUGUCUUCUAAUCUGAACCACCACGUUUGCUGUAUGAUCUAUCUUCUCAAAGAUUCUUUCUCACUUGGUAAACCAAUAUUUAAGUUCUAAACGCCAAUUUUCUCAUCUCGCAUCGUCUCUAUGCUUCUCCCAUUAGAUCCAUCAACAUUAGAUUUCACGCCCUAUUUUGACAUGGUGCUUUGUAGGAUCUUUUCCGCAAUUUUUACUAAGUAGUAAUUGUUUUAGUUACUUCUUCUGUUCACCUUUAUGUUUUGUGGCAAAAAGUUUUGAUUGGGGUGUUUUUGGUGUUUAGUAGAACUGUUUUGAAUAUGUGAAGAAAGACCAGAUCUUAUAACGCUCUCAAAGUGAGUUUUCCUAUCCAACUAUCCCAAUUUUGUGCUUACUCCUAUUUGGAAAUUCUCAAUACACUACUAGAAUUGGAGAUAGAUUUUGAGGAGGUUUCAGGUAAGGUUCACCUCAUAUCUUAAAAGACCCAAUGCAAUUUUGUUGCUUUACUGUACAUAGAGACUUGGGUCGUUAUACCUCAUUCGUCUUACCUGUUAAGAUUUAAAAGACAUGAAUAGCCUUUCUACUUUCAGAAGUUCAAAAUAGAUCACACACCGUGUGAACUGCAUAAAUAUCUGGUAUGAAACUCAAUCUCUUAUGUUAGAUUCAUAAUCAAUACACUUGUCAGUUCUCACAGAUUUAUGUAUCAACCUCUAUUAUUUGAGCUAUGAUAAACAAUUAUUUCAAGUAAAAGUGCAUUAGAUUAGAUUAGAACUCUUGAUAUUACAUAAUCUGAAAUGAAGGUAAUAAAAAAAGGACAAAAUUAAUACUUCAGCCAACCCUAAUUUAUCUUCUUAAGGGAGAUCUAUAAUUCCAGAUUAAAGUAUUGAAUGUUGGUUUAGAUAGAGUAGUACACUUUUAGCCACCAUCGAAUAGAAUUAGAUAAAAAAGAAAGAAAGAAAGAAUAGAAUUAGGAAUAUUCUACUUUAGUAUACACCCUUAUAUGAGUAUGUGAUGCAUACCGACCUAUCUUUCAAAGAUAUUCUUUGUUCAAAUACAACAACUAGGUGAAUAGGCAAUGCCUCUACAUAGCCAGAUAAACAUCAGUUUAAGUAGAAGAACAUUAGGUGCUUAAAUCAUAAACAGGAAAUUUUUUGAUUUACUGAUUAUGCAUGUGUAUCUUUUUUCCUACUAUUUUGUUUAGCUAUCUUUUAUGGCUAUUUGCUACAAUACAAUAAAGCUGUAAAGUUUAUUCUUUUAAAACCCUUUUUAGCCCUUUCUUUUGUGUAGUGGGCGAUUGAAGAAUGAGGGGGUUGAAGUAACUAUUUAUUUGGAAUUGUAAUUUCGAGCCUUUGAUCUUGUACUUAUCAUUCCUAAUUGUCUAUGUGAUGACCUAUUGAACAACCUAAGUGUAUAUGAGUAAUAUCAUUGAACUCAAUUGGGAAUCUUUGCUCUAUAUUACUAAAUUUAAACCAUAAAUUUAUGGUUAAAUAUGCUAUUAUAAGUUUAAAGCACGUGCUAGCUAUUGUUCUGGUCCACUUAUGGUAGGAAAUAUCAGUUACUUUUUGACAAGGACAUGCUACUUUGUUCAGUGAUUAUGGAUUUAACCUACUUUGAUUCUAAUAUUUUCUAUUUUUUCAAGUUGAUCUUGGUUCUGCAAUUGUGAAGAGUUCGACUUAUUCAUACUAGAUGUAAGCUAUAUACUUAAUUCUCCAGUAGUUGGUCUACGUCUGGUAGCUUGUCUACCUCUAGAACCAAUGCAUUAGUAAUAAUAAGAUGAUAUCACUAUGAGAUGGAAGAAUUUGUAUGGUGUUAUCCAACGGCACUGUCUCUGAUUUACCUUUUCAUUGUAGCUUCUUUUGGAUAUGCACAUAUAGACAUAGAGGGAAAUUCGAAAGGGUGAGCAAGAUGAUAUUUGUUGUCAUUGUUUUGUAAACCAGCUUAUAUCUAUUUUGAAUUCUAAAAUAUUUGAUUGCUCAUUGUGAUCAUCGCAAAUAUACAUUUCUAUAAGUUGUUGUGCUUCUGCUAAAAAUGACAUUGUAUUUCUUGGUGCAUCUGUACUAUAGAAAAGACAUAUUAUAUGGUAUUGAAACAAAAAAAUCCUAAAUAGAGUGGAACGGAUAUAGAUCAUUCAUAUCAUUGAUCCCCAUUAGUUUGGUAUUGAGUCAUCUUUGAGUGACUGAUUAAUUAUCUUUUCUAGAAUGUAGAAAUAUCUUGCUUCUUUGUAGUUGGUUUAAAGAAUUUACUUUAUCUAAUUUCAGAUGUCGAGUUGUCAAAUAACAGACAGACGAGAAUUUUGACUUGCCUCCCUUUUUUCUUUAGGUUUUCUUGGUACUUUUGCCAUGCUCAGUCUGUCGUUCGGCCACAACUUACAACUUGCAUCUGCUUUGUUGUGCCUGAUGGGUGGUAGUGCUACGCAGGCAAUAGCAGAUGUUACUAUUGAUGCCUGUGUCACAGAGAACAGUAUAAGCCAUCCUUCUCUUGCCAGUGACAUGCAAAGCUUGUGUGGAGUGAGUUCUUCAAUCGGGCAACUGAUUGGGUACACUGUCAGUGGAUUUUUGGUUCAUCUAAUUGGAUCUAUGGUUUGGUAUCACUGGCUUAAUUCGAUCAUUAUUGAUGGAAUAUUGAGCUAGAGUUUCGACGUGUGAGCUUAGUGUCAUUAAAUUUAUAGUUGAGGGUAUUGUUGACUUUAUACUUAUACAUGCCUUCCAGUGGCAAUAGAACAACCACGUCUAUUUAUAUCCAGUUCGUUAGUUGAUUGGAGUAUAGUGAUGAUUCCAGGUAUAGUGAAUGAACCGCUGCAUAGUUGGGCGUAGAGAAGGAGGAGAAGAUGCAAGAUAUGUUUUUUUCUCUGUCUUCUUCUCCUGAGACGAGUUGCUAAAGGGCGUACUGGCGAAACUAUAAUGCAAGAUAUGUAAUUUAUCUUCCUAUUUAUUCCUCUAAGUUUCUGAAUAAUUUUAAUGAAGAUGUUGUUCUCAUA